rnacentral:rRNA from 1 species
UACGAAGGGGGCUAGCGUUGCUCGGAAUCACUGGGCGUAAAGCGCACGUAGGCGGCUUUCUAAGUCAGGGGUGAAAUCCUGGAUCUCAACUCCAGAACUGCCUUUGAUACUGGAAAGCUUGAGUUCGGGAGAGGUGAGUGGAACUGCGAGUGUAGAGGUGAAAUUCGUAGAUAUUCGCAAGAACACCAGUGGCGAAGGCGGCUCACUGGCCCGAUACUGACGCUGAGGUGCGAAAGCGUGGGGAGCAAACAGG